UACAGAGGGGGCCAGCGUUAUUCGGAAUUAUUGGGCGUAAAGGGCGCGUAGGCGGCUUUGCGUGUCUUUCGUGAAAUCCCUCGGCUCAACUGAGGACGUGCGGAAGAAACUGCAGGGCUGGAGUCCGGGAGAGGAGGGUGGAAUUCCCAGUGUAGCGGUGAAAUGCGUAGAUAUUGGGAGGAACACCGGUGGCGAAGGCGGCCCUCUGGACCGGUACUGACGCUGAUGCGCGAAAGCGUGUGGAGCAAACGGG
rnacentral:rRNA from 1 species